UACGUAGGGGGGCAAGCGUUGUCCGGAUUUAUUGGGCGUAAAGAGCGUGUAGGCGGCUAGAUAGGUCCGUUGUGAAAACUCGAGGCUCAACCUCGAGACGUCGAUGGAAACCAUCUGGCUAGAGUCCGGAAGAGGAGAGUGGAAUUCCUGGUGUAGCGGUGAAAUGCGCAGAUAUCAGGAAGAACACCCGUGGCGAAGGCGGCUCUCUGGGACGGUACUGACGCUGAGACGCGAAAAGCGUGGGGGAGCGAACAGG
rnacentral:rRNA from 1 species